GACGAACGCUGGCGGCGUGCUUAACACAUGCAAGUCGAACGGAAAGGCCCUGCUUUUGUGGGGUGCUCGAGUGGCGAACGGGUGAGUAACACGUGAGUAACCUGCCCUUGACUUUGGGAUAACUUCAGGAAACUGGGGCUAAUACCGGAUCGGAGCUCCUCCUCCAUGGUGGGGGUUGGAAAGUUUCGGCGGUUGGGGAUGGACUCGCGGCUUAUCAGCUUGUUGGUGGGGUAGUGGCUUACCCAGGCUUUGACGGGUAGGCGGCCUGGGAGGGUGGACGGCGUCAAUGGGACUGAGGUAGGGAGCAGAGUGGUACGGGGGGCAGCGGGGGGGAGUAUGGCACAGUGGGCGGGAGCGUGAGGCGGCGGCGUCGCGUGCGGGAUGACGGCCUUCGGGGUGUGAACCGCUUUCGCCUGUGACGAAGCGGGAGUGACGGUAAUGGGUAAAGAAGCACCGGCUAACUACGUG
rnacentral:rRNA from 1 species